UAGCACUGCAAGGGAAACAGUUUAUGGGACUGAGACUCAGAACUAAUGCACCUGGAUUCCUAUUUGAUGUAUUUUUAUCUCACUAAAGAGGGAAUAUAUGAACCACCUCAAAUGUCUUCAAGAUUGUUAUUGGUAUGAAGUGGCCAGACAAACCAGGGAGGAGUACUUAUUUUCAUCGCUGUAGGACCAGUCAGAUAAUGGAGCAGCACUGGAUUUGGUGUUCCAGCAUGGAUUCAGCAUCUGACACCCGCCCAUCCAAAGAGCACUACCCCAGAAAGACAUUGGUGCCGAGGUUAUGGUAUCACUCACCUGAUCCUCUGAGCAGAGGCGGCGCCAGUGGUGGGGGAACGAGUGAGCGGGCUCUCUCUCUCUCUGUGUGUGUGUGUGUCAGGUGGAAGCCAGGCUGGGCCGCCCGCAGCUGGGUCACCGGUGGUGUGGAGGGAGAGAUGCUCUGACAGCCAGAGACCGAUCCCUCAUUACAGCAGCAGCAGGGGUCAAGGCGAGGAGGCGAGCGUCCCACCUGCCUGAAAUUGGCCAUAAAAAUGACCAAUUACACAAGACUUCUGCACCAAGAGAGAAAGAGAGGGAGAGAGAGAGAGAGAGAAAAGAGAGAGAGAAAAAUGUCUUGAUAUAUGGUGGUUACUUAAUGCAUCAACAAAAAUGAAGAAACCUGCAGCGCACCCUUUGAGUUUUUUUUUUACCCAGGCGAGGCCAAUGGCUUACAUCACUAAAACAAAAAUUCAGAAGCCAAAAAUCAACUGUGAAUUAAAAAAAAAAGUCAACAAAUCAAAAUCCAUGAAAAUCAUUGCUGAACAAAACCACGUGGCAGUAGUAUUCCAAACAGCUGGAUCAGAGACUGGGACCCAUUGAUGUGGGCAAAGGGUGAAAGGAGUGGGAGAAGAACAGCGCUGUGUAAUAUGACAUGGCUGGGUAAACUAUUUACGUUGCCUCCUCUGCUCCAUAUUAAGACAAUGCGUGAUUAAAUGCCAGCGAAUGCGUGCAGGGGUUGAAUUAAUGGCCUGGUAAAUGAGAAACAUGCAAAUAUCCCAAUUAAACAAUUUGCUGUGGUGGCCGAGGCUCUGGCGGGUUCAGCUGCAGCCGAGGGCCUUGGGAGCAGUGCUCCUUUU